rnacentral:rRNA from 1 species
GUUGAAGGUUGGGUAACACUAACUGGAGGACCGAACCGACUAAUGUUGAAAAAUUAGCGGAUGACCUGUGGCUGGGGGUGAAAGGCCAAUCAAACCGGGAGAUAGCUGGUUCUCCCCGAAAGCUAUUUAGGUAGCGCCUCGUGAAUUCAUCUCCGGGGGUAGAGCACUGUUUCGGCUAGGGGGCCAUCCCGGCUUACCAACCCGAUGCAAACUGCGAAUACCGGAGAAUGUUAUCACGGGAGACACACGGCGGGUGCUAACGUCCGUCGUGAAGAGGGAAACAACCCAGACCGCCAGCUAAGGUCCCAAAGUCAUGGUUAAGUGGGAAACGAUGUGGGAAGGCCCAGACAGCCAGGAUGUUGGCUUAGAAGCAGCCAUCAUUUAAAGAAAGCGUAAUAGCUCACUGGUCGAGUCGGCCUGCGCGGAAGAUGUAACGGGGCUAAACCAUGCACCGAAGCUGCGGCAGCGACACUGUGUGUUGUUGGGUAGGGGAGCGUUCUGUAAGCCUGUGAAGGUGGCCUG